GUCGUGGAAGUAGAAGUGGAGGUGGCUGAGCUUCUCUUCGUUGAGACCCAUCGAUAUGGGAGAAAUUUUUUUGGAGAAACGGUGGGAUUCCUCGCUGGAGCCACGGCGGCAGCAAUGGUGGAGAAGAAGAUAGUGAAAAUGAUGAGAGGUUUCGCCAUGGUGGAGAAGAAUUAAACAAAGGUGGAAAAAAUUUCGACGUCAACCAUACCUUCUUAUAAAUAUAUGAAUGAUGGCAAAAAAAAUAUUUAGCUUCAUUAUUUAUUUGUGGGUUUAAUAUAUUUUAAACUCUCAACCCAUCCCGUGUUGUUUGGCACAUUGACCCUUUAGGACCCAAACUUCUUAAAUUAUAGUGCUCUACCUUUUUUUUGUUAGAUAAUAUAAACUUCUUAAAUUGCAACACUCUACCUUUUUCAUUAGUCAGUGUUAAUUUAAGUGAACAAAAAUCUCGUGUUGUAUACGUGACUGACUAAUGAAGGGUAAAUUUAUAAAUUCUCAAACCAAAACAUUAAACAGAUUGCCCCCAUACCAAUCCUUCGUUUAUUUAAAAUAAUUUUCAUAUUCAUUCCAUUUAAAAAAUUAAAUGAAGUAGAGUGGAACAGGUAUCAAAAAAAUUUACCCAUUACUAUUUCUCAGUAAAAUGUAUAAAAAUAGACUUAUAUUAUAAAUAAAAAUAUAUUUGUUUAUUCUUAAUUAAAAUAAUCAAAAUUGAAAAUAUUUAAAAUUCUGACAUUAAUAAAUAUUAUUUGGGAGUAGUUUUAAAUAAUUGUUUCGUAUGUAGUCAUUUAUAUGGUUAUACAUAAGAGAAAUGGAUCUUAUAAUAAAAUUUCAUAAAAUAUUUUUAAAAAAAAUGUAUAGAGACAUUCGUUGACUUAAAAAAGAAAAAAGAAAAAAAGGAAAGAGCUGAAACUUGAUGAGCGGCGUGGAUUAGUUGGGCCUUUGGAAAUUCCAAAUUUGGGUUUUUGAUGAUUCCCGGCACUUUAUGGGGUGGUGGUCCUAACGCAUUAGAGGAAGGUGACGCUCACGUGUCUUUUCUUUUCCUUCCGAUGAGGAAAGCUGCAAAUGUUAGGGACGGUUGGAUCAAAUAUGAAGAGCAGAUGAUGCCACGUGGAAAGUACAAAGAAAAAGGGCAAAUCACCUAAUGAUAAUUGUUGGGAAUGUUGGUCCCUUUUGAUAACGAAUAUACUAAAAAUGUCAUUCGAUUAAAAGCUCUUAAGCAUUUAAUGCACUUUACUUUUUGUUAGGACAUUUAUAUUGCGUGGAUCUCAUAUUUAUGAUAAUUAUUAACAUUUAAAUUUUAAAUUAAAAUUUUGAUGAUAAUAUAAUUUGUUAUUUAAAUUUACUAUUUAAAACAAAAAUACUUUUAAAAAAUAUUUUGAUGUUUAAAUUUGUUAUUUUAAUCCUUACAACUUUACUAACUUAAUAUACAAAUAUUCAAUCAUAUAACAUAUAAUUAUUCAAUGGAAUAACACGCUAACUAUUCAUUAAGUAAUAUAACACGUGAAAAAAUUAAAUAAAAAUAAAUUAAAUUAUUGUAAUAUAUUAUAAUAUUAAUGUAUUUAUGUUGCAAGUAUAAUACAAUUACGUCUUACUUAUAUUUUAUUACAAAAAUAAUAAUUUUAAAAUGUUUAUUUAUAUCUUAUUGGUAUUAAUAUAUUAGUAUAUUAACAUCAUUUACAAAUUAUUUAAUAAUUUGUGUAUAUAUAUAUAAUAAAAAAAAAUCAUGAGUCUUAUAAAUUCAAAAUAAUGUUUUAUUUGGUUUUAAAAGUGAUUCAUAAUAUAAAUAUAUUAUGAAAUAUGGUAUGAUCAUUACAAACUUUUACUAUUAUAAAAAAUGUUUAAAAAUUUUUUAAUUAAAUUUUAUUAUAAUAAAAGUGUAUUUAUAUUCUAAUUAUAACAUAUUUUGAUUUGUAUCUUAUAAUAAAAGUAAUAAUCUCAUGGGAAGGUGACGCUCACGUCUCCUUUCUUUUCCUUCCGAUGAGGAAAGCUGCAAAUGUUAGGGACGGUUGGAUCAAAUAAGAAGAGCAAUGAUGCCACGUGGAAAGUACAAAGAAAAAGGGGGAAUCACAUAAUGAUAAUCAUUGGGAAGGGUGCUCAAAAGCUUUUAACGCCCAUUUGUGGCGCGUGGACCUCAUAUUUAUGGUAAUUAUUAACCUUCAAAUUUUAAAUCAAGAUUUUGAUGAUAGUAUAAUUUAUUAUUUAAAUUUAUUAUUUAAAAUAAAAAUACUUCUAACAAACAUUUUGAUGUUGUUUAAAUUUUUUAUUUUAAUAUUUACAACUUUAUUAACUUAAUAUACAAAUAUUCAAUUAAAUAACACAUCAUUUUUUAACGGAAUAACAUGUAAUUAUUUAUUGGAUAAUAUAACAUGUGAAAAAAUUAAAUAAAAAUAAAUUAUAUUAUAUUAUAAUAUAUUGUAAUAUUAAUAUCUUUGUGUUGUAAGUAUAAUGCAUUUAUGUCAUACUUAUAUUUUAUUAUAAAAGUAAUAAUUUUUAAAAUACUUAUUUAUAUCUUAUUGGCAUUAACAUAUCAUUAUCAGUAUAUUAACAUCAUUUACCCAAUAUAUUGAAAUUAUUUAAUAACUUUUGUGUAUAUAUAUAUACAUAAAAUAAAUAAAUAAAUAAAUAAAAAAAACCAUGACUUUCAUGAAUUCAAAAUAGGUUUCAGAAAUGAUUCAUAAUAUAAAUAUGUUAUGAAAUAUGAUAUGAUUAUACAAAACUAUAACUUUUAUAAAUAAAAAGUUUAAAAUUUUUCUAAUUAUGUUUUAUUGUAAUGAAAGUGUGUUUAUAUUAUAAUUAUAACAUAUUUUGAUCAUAAGUGUAUUUUAUAAUAAAAAUAAUAAUCUUAUAGAUCACUUUUUAUACUUCAUUAAUAUUUAAUAUAUCAUAUGUAUUAAUAUCAUCCACUCGAUGUAUUGAGAAAAAAAAUGAUCAAAAAAUUAUAUACGAAAAUUAAGAAAAAAACAUUAUGCAAAGAAAAAAAAAUAGAAAUAUCAUACAAAUUUUUAAAAAUUAUUUUAUUAUAAAAAAUAAAAAAAGAUCAAACAUUCUCCAUUUUCUUAUUCUUUUUAGAUAAUUCAAAUUAAAAAUUAAGUAAUGUAUCUUCCUCGAAUUCAAUACAAAAACAUAAUUUAUUAGUUUAAAAUUAGAAAAAUAUAUAUGAAAAAAUCAUUAUUUUUAUUAUAUAAUUAUAAAACUUUCUUAAUAAAAAAAUGCACAAAAAAAAACUAAUUAAAUAUUACUUAAAAAUAUUUUUUAAAAGUAUUUUUGCUUUAAAUGGUAAAUUUAAAUAACAAAUUAUACAAUCAUUAUAUAUAAUAAUUGUAAGGAUUAAAUCCAAAAUUUUGAUUUAAAAUGUGAACGUCAAUAAUUACAAUAAAUGUGAGACUCAUAUACCAUAAAUGUCCUAACAAAAAAAUAAGUGUUUUAUAUGGUUUAAAUUUUAAAAGUUUUAAUUGAAAUGCAUUUUUGGUAUUUCAAAAUAUUAUUGUCCAGUAAUUAUCCUAUUUAACCCACCUAUCCGUAAUUCUCCCAAAGAAAAAUCUAAAGAUGAAAAUCGAGUGCGUGAAGGGCCUUCGACAUGCCUACCAUCCUAUCAGCCUAUAAUUAAUCAUGAAUCUUGAGAAUUUUUAUUUAUUUAUUUUUUUCCUUCCAAAUUUCGACAUGUUUAUUAAAUUAGCAGCAAAAUAUGUGGAAUAAGCAAAUAAUUUAAAACUUUCCCAUUCAUGAUGUCCAAAUUUAAAAACGAAAAAGCAUAAAAUUAUCGGAAAGAAAACAAAGAAAAAGCUAAGACAGAAUUGCAGGAAUCAGUAAUGAAAGACAUAAACAUUAUACUCCACAACAACAUCUCCUGUUUUGGGAUUGAAGGUGUGAGUCCUCGCCUGAGCAUACCCACGAGCAAAUCGGAAAAGCCCACUGCCGCCGACGAUCGACAUCUCCCGCACCUUUGAAAAGAUAGUGUUUCGACCCAAAACACUGAGAGUACUGCCGUUGUACUUGCCCUCCAUGAAAGCAAAAUUCAGCACCAUCAAGAAGCCCAUUUCCUCCUGCGACGCCGAUGCGUAUAUUCCUUGGGCUCUUCCUACCAGCUUGGAGCUGGGCUCGGGUCCCACAGUCAAGGGAUCGUCCAUCAUAAGCACCGCGCCGAACACUGUCGCCGACUUGUUGGUCAUGGCGGCCUCAGCGACUCUCACGGCGGUGGGUUUCGGGCCGCUGAUUAUGUCGUGGAAGUAGAAGUGGAGGUGGCUGAGCUUCUCUUCCUUGAGGCCUAUCGAUUCCGGAGAAAGGUUCCUGGAGAAACGGUGGGAUUCCCCGCUGGAGCCGGAGGCCGCGACGGCGGCAAUGGUGGAGAAGAAAAUAGUGAAAAGGAUGAGGAGUUUUGCCAUCGUGGAGAAGAAACAAAGAUGGAAAAAGUUUUUGUGUCUACCUGCGC
rnacentral:lncRNA from 1 species